GUUCGUUGAAAAUUACCCCUGGUAUUGGCCUUGAUGGUUAUGUGGAGGUUAAGAUUGGCUGCUCAGAACCAAUAGAGGCCUUACAUCACCACCUGCUACCUCAGGGGUGUGGGGAAGGUGAAACCCAGGCUCUGAGAGUC
ensembl:snoRNA Gm22156 small nucleolar RNA ACA64